rnacentral:lncRNA from 1 species
UCCUUAUGCUUCUUAAUUUGGACAUCGUAGAAAGAGCACAUAUUAAAAAUGUCAGCUUCUCUUCGUCUCAUCUAUAUCUCAUAUACAAAUUGUCUCUCAUUAAAUACAAAAUAAAUGUUUGUUUUACUUCUAUUGAGGGACAUGGAAAGAGUAAAAAUAUUCAGAAAACGGAUGGAGAUUAAAUUAGCUAAAAGUGUUGCGGAAGAUAGUCACGGACAUUUUAGAGCUCAUACUUGGACU